CGUGGUUUGUAUCAACUCUAACCUCUAAAAAGUGUGCAUGCUGGUGCAGUUGUGCAGCAAUUAUUUAACAAAAUAAGUAGUUUUUUAUAUGUUUUAUAACAUAUUAAUCAAUUAGUAUAGUGUUUUUAACUUAGGCAGUGUAGUAGUGAAUCGGGCGUAUUGAUUUGUGUGAUAACUAUCUGAAGAAGUUUUUACGCAUUUUCUUUACAAUGUAUAUUUCUACAUUGAAUUAUGAUGAUCCAAUUGUUGUCAAGAAGAAAUCCACACCGCUAAAGGGCAGAAGGCAGCAAAGAAAAGAAAAGUUGCAGUUUGUGUUACCACCAGUGAACAAAGAAGAUUUAUAUAUUGGUAGCUUUAUUAUGAGUAACAUUUCGGAUAACAACACAGGUUUGGAUGUAUGGAAGGUUAAAAGAUGAAGAAAUUCUCCAGGGCAUUGAAAUACAAGUGGAUUCUCCAUUUAUUAAAGCUUUAUAGCAAAGUAAAAAGUUUUACUUGGAUUUUGGAAAAUCAAAUGAAGAUGUCCUGCUGAAAACUAUGGUUCAUAAGUUUAUUAUGAGAGAUAGUAUCAAGGCGAGCAUCCAAAGGGUUACAUCAUCCAAGGAUAAGUCAAAAUGGACUCGAGCAGAAAUCACCGUUCGACAAUUCAAGGAUUUGCUGUUUGGUUCCUGGGAAACAGAUGAAGAGUUAUGUGUGAAUGCGGCAGAUGAAGUACAAGAAGAGCCUUAGAGCAUUAAAGAGUGGGGAUCUGGUUGCGCGUGUUGUUGAGUAAAUUUUUUAAUCUGUACUUACACUA